rfam:Oryza glumipatula chromosome 10, whole genome shotgun sequence.
UUCAAGCAUAAUCAUAAUUUUUCGUAUUUAACUUUGAUUGUCCGUCUAAUUUUAAUUUUUUAUGAUUAAUAUUUAUGUUGUUAUUAGAUGACAAAACAUGAAUAAUAUUUUACGUGUGGAAAAAAUAAAUAAGACGGACGAUUAAAAUUUGACAUGGAAAUUCAUGACUACGUUUAAA